CCAGUAGCCGCGGAGGAACAAGAACAUGUUUAGGUGCAUCCUUAUGUAGCUACUUACUGGGAACAAGAACUUUGGUAUCAAGAACGAGAAGCUAUAAUGGUUUCUGGAUGAGGGAGGUGAAUGCACAUCCCGAACUGCUAAAGCUUGUUGGGACUCAUUGCCUUCUAAGCUCAACCAUUACAAAGGUGUAUCUACGUAACAUGCAUAAUGGUUUAAGGUUUUCUCAUUUGCCAGAUCUUGAUUGAGGUAGUAGUUGUUCAAUUCAUCCCAUGUUUGGUCGGUUAGUGUUUGACGUUUCCUAAUUUUUUUAAC